rnacentral:tRNA from 1 species
UAGCUCAAAGGCAGAGUGCCUGCUUAGCAUGCAGAAGGUUCUGGGUUCAAGCCCCAG